UAAGAAUUUAAAAAGCUAGGAAUAUGAACAUGUAACAACCCAGCCCACUAACAAUAAUAACUCAUUGGGCCCAGCCAACAGCCCAAAAUGCUUAAGCCCAGUUAUUAUUUCUAGUGUCUAAAUCUCUUAUAAACCCAAUGACAACCCCAUUCCCAUCCGAUGUGGGAUUAUUGGGGUGUCACAAACUCCCCCCGUUAAAGCCCUGACGUCCUCGUCAGUCCAAUCACACACCCAGCCCAAGAUCACAAGGCGAUAUGAGACUCGUCUCGCUAGCCCGUCAUCCAUACCCUGGCUC
rnacentral:lncRNA from 1 species